rnacentral:rRNA from 1 species
UUGUUUGGAGAGUUUGAUCCUGGCUCAGGACGAACGCUGGCGGCGUGCUUAACACAUGCAAGUCGAACGGAAAGGUCUCUUCGGAGACACUCGAGUGGCGAACGGGUGAGUAACACGUGGGCAAUCUGCCCUGCACACCGGGAUAAGCCUGGGAAACUGGGUCUAAUACCGGAUAGGACCACUUGGCGCAUGCCUUGUGGUGGAAAGCUUUUGCGGUGUGGGAUGGGCCCGCGGCCUAUCAGCUUGUUGGUGGGGUGACGGCCUACCAAGGCGACGACGGGUAGCCGGCCUGAGAGGGUGUCCGGCCACACUGGGACUGAGAUACGGCCCAGACUCCUACGGGAGGCAGCAGUGGGGAAUAUUGCACAAUGGGCGCAAGCCUGAUGCAGCGACGCCGCGUGGGGGAUGACGGCCUUCGGGUUGUAAACCUCUUUCACCAUCGACGAAGGUCCGGGUUCUCUCGGAUUGACGGUAGGUGGAGAAGAAGCACCGGCCAACUACGUGCCAGCAGCCGCGGUAAUACGUAGGGUGCGAGCGUUGUCCGGAAUUACUGGGCGUAAAGAGCUCGUAGGUGGUUUGUCGCGUUGUUCGUGAAAUCUCACGGCUUAACUGUGAGCGUGCGGGCGAUACGGGCAGACUAGAGUACUGCAGGGGAGACUGGAAUUCCUGGUGUAGCGGUGGAAUGCGCAGAUAUCAGGAGGAACACCGGUGGCGAAGGCGGGUCUCUGGGCAGUAACUGACGCUGAGGAGCGAAAGCGUGGGGAGCGAACAGGAUUAGAUACCCUGGUAGUCCACGCCGUAAACGGUGGGUACUAGGUGUGGGUUUCCUUCCUUGGGAUCCGUGCCGUAGCUAACGCAUUAAGUACCCCGCCUGGGGAGUACGGCCGCAAGGCUAAAACUCAAAGGAAUUGACGGGGGCCCGCACAAGCGGCGGAGCAUGUGGAUUAAUUCGAUGCAACGCGAAGAACCUUACCUGGGUUUGACAUGCACAGGACGCGUCUAGAGAUAGGCGUUCCCUUGUGGCCUGUGUGCAGGUGGUGCAUGGCUGUCGUCAGCUCGUGUCGUGAGAUGUUGGGUUAAGUCCCGCAACGAGCGCAACCCUUGUCUCAUGUUGCCAGCGGGUAAUGCCGGGGACUCGUGAGAGACUGCCGGGGUCAACUCGGAGGAAGGUGGGGAUGACGUCAAGUCAUCAUGCCCCUUAUGUCCAGGGCUUCACACAUGCUACAAUGGCCGGUACAAAGGGCUGCGAUGCCGCGAGGUUAAGCGAAUCCUUUUAAAGCCGGUCUCAGUUCGGAUCGGGGUCUGCAACUCGACCCCGUGAAGUCGGAGUCGCUAGUAAUCGCAGAUCAGCAACGCUGCGGUGAAUACGUUCCCGGGCCUUGUACACACCGCCCGUCACGUCAUGAAAGUCGGUAACACCCGAAGCCAGUGGCCUAACCCUCGGGAGGGAGCUGUCGAAGGUGGGAUCGGCGAUUGGGACGAAGUCGUAACAAGGUAGCCGUACCGGAAGGUGCGGCUGGAUCACCUCCUUUCUAAGGAG